rnacentral:rRNA from 1 species
UCAGAUGCGAAAGCGUGGGGAGCAAAACAGGAUUAGAUACCCUUGGUAGUCCACGCCGUUAAACGAUGUCUACUUGGAGGGUUUGUGGGCCUUGAGCCGUGGCUUUCGGAGCUAACGCGUUAAGUAGACCGCCUGGGGAGUACGGUCGCAAGAUUAAAACUCAAAUGAAUUGACGGGGGCCCGCACAAGCGGUGGAGCAUGUGGUUUAAUUCGAUGCAACGCGAAGAACCUUACCUACUCUUGACAUCCAGAGAAUCCUGCGGAGACGCGGGAGUGCCUUCGGGAACUAUGAGACAGGUGCUGCAUGGCUGUCGUCAGCUCGUGUUGUGAAAUGUUGGGUUAAGUCCCGCAACGAGCGCAACCCUUAUCCUUGUUUGCCAGCGAGUAAUGUCGGGAACUCCAGGGAGACUGCCGGUGAUAAACCGGAGGAAGGUGGGGACGACGUCAAGUCAUCAUGGCCCUUACGAGUAGGGCUACACACGUGCUACAAUGGCGCAUACAGAGGGCAGCGAACUUGCGAGAGUAAGCGAAUCCCAAAAAGUGCGUCGUAGUCCGGAUUGGAGUCUGCAACUCGACUCCAUGAAGUCGGAAUCGCUAGUAAUCGUGAAUCAGAAUGUCACGGUGAAUACGUUCCCGGGCCUUGUACACACCGCC